CCUACGGGGGGCUGCAGUAGGGAAUAUUGGACAAUGGAGGAAACUCUGAUCCAGCCAUGCCGCGUGAUAGAUGAAGGCCCUCUUGGUUGUAAAUAUCUUUUAUCUGGGAAGAAACAAUCUUAUUCUUAAGAUCUUGACGGUACCAGAGGAAUAAGCACCGGCUAACUCCGUGCCAGCAGCCGCGGUAAUACGGAGGGUGCAAGCGUUAUCGGGAUUCAAUGGGGUUAAGGCGGGCUGAUAAGUCAGUGGUGAAAGCUCCGAGCUUAACUUGGAAACUGCCAUUGAUACUGCCAGUCUUGAAUGUCGUAGAGGUAAGCGGAAUGUUGCAUGUAGCGGUGAAAUGCUUAGAUAUGUGACAGAACACCAAUUGCGAAGGCAGCUUACUAUGCGAUGAUUGACGCUGAGGCACGAAAGCGUGGGGAGCAAACAGGAUUAGAUACCCGUGUAGUC
rnacentral:rRNA from 1 species